ACAAUACAUAUAUCACUGUCACACCAAAGAUGUGUGUUUAAGCGAUGGCAAAGCUAUAGGCAGCGCGCGCUUGUUUGAGGGAGCUGCGAUCGAUCCGCUGAAAGCGACCCCCGUGGCAAUCGGCCGCAAAACGGCGUGGUACCAGCGGGGCGUUCGCAUAUGCAUUGCCUGUCACUUUUUGUGUACGACGCAUGCUAGUAUGACGAUUUCACGUGUUUUAUACGCCGGCUUCGCGCCUGUUGACACGCAAGACCACUUUCGAGGCGGUAAUCUGAAGAAAGGGCACCUUCUUCAGAAGGCGAAACAUGUGAAAUGCGUUCGCGAAGAUGUUUUCACGGACGGGACGUCAAAGAUAAGUGCGCAGUGCCUUGCCCAAACGAGCACACGCACGUACAACGUAACUGUUCAGCUUCAGUCACCUAGACCACGUGCAAUUCUCGAAGCACAUUGUACUUGUAAGGGAGGUGUGGCUGGCCGUUGUAAACAUGUAGCCGCCGUUGUUACUGCCAUAAACAACCCCGAAGACGACUCCUGCACUAGUGUGCCCCAAGCGUGGGGCAGGCCUGGAAGUCAAGCGUCAGGCAGCUACGUCCGGCUUCCUUUCGAAGAGCUUUAUCCAAGUGGUUCCAGGAAAGGGCAUUACGUCUAACAAGCACAGAGUGCCACAGAGUCAGAACAAGGGUAGCAGACUUCGAAAAACUUGCUGAAGCACUGAAAACCACCAGGCCACUGAGAACAGCGGCCACAGCAUACGGCACGCAGAUGGAGGGAGUUGCUGCAAAGGAGUUCCAGAGGAAGUUCCCAACAAUAGUGUAUCAGGCUGGGCUCUUGGUGCACCCUGAACAAAGAUGGCUAUGUGCAAGCCCGGAUGGGGUAGUGCGGCUGGCUGAUGGCCUUUAUUUGCUUGAAAUCAAAUGCCCAUUUGGCCGGAAAGGACAGCCAAUCAUUGAUUGCAAAUCUGAAACAAGCUACGUUCAGUACCUACAGUAUGAAGGAGGGAAGCUGGUGCUUAAAAAGUCGCAUCAAUACUAUACACAAGUGCAAAUUGCAAUGUAUGUCAUGAAUGUAACAGAGGCAUUCUUUUUUGUAUAUUCUGAUGCGCAGUCAGUGAAUGUGAUGGUAGAGCGUGACGAUGAUCUGCUUAGUGAACUUGUUCCAAAACUAGAGCCAUUCUAUUUUACUCACAUGCUGCCAAGAAUGGCUCCCAGGUCUAAAUGAAUAUGUAAUUAGACCUUAAGUUUUCUGGUUUAAUUUUUUUGGUUAGUCCACGUAUUCUAGUCAGUUCAAUUUCUGUAAGUUGGGGCCUGGUGCUCUGUAUGAUAUUUCAAAUCGUGUUGAAGCAAUAAAUGAGAAACAGUGUGACAGCCAUUUUGCAACAGGACACUUUUUUUAGCAACUGCAUUAG